GCCCAUGAGGUGAGAUACGCCAAAGUGCAAAUUUGGAGACGCACCCUAGGAGGUGCCGGGGCUUCUCCCGUUUUAGGUCGAACGGGAGAAGG
rnacentral:tRNA from 1 species